UUUGACCUCAAAUCAGGUANGACUACCCGCUGAACUUAAGCAUAUCAAUAAGCGGAGG
rnacentral:rRNA from 1 species